UUUCCAAACAAAGUUUACAUAUAUAUAUAUAUAUAUAUAUAUAGCGGAUUGCUCAUUGCCAUUGGUUGUGAAAUCAAGAAUUAAUGUGGAUGGUAAGAUGUAAACUUCUUACAAAAAGUCUAUUUAGGAGAACGAAAACGUGUGAAGGUCUUGUUUUCCUAAGGUUUCGUUUUGGGUCUCUUUUAUUUUGUACCUUGUAAUUCUCUUGGCCCUUUAGCCAACUAAGCACAUUUUGGGAUUGAAUAUAUAUUUAAA
rnacentral:sRNA from 1 species